rnacentral:rRNA from 1 species
AUUGAACGCUGGCGGCAGGCCUAACACAUGCAAGUCGAACGAGUGGCGGACGGGUGAGUCAUGUCUGGGAAACUGCCCGAUGGAGGGGGAUAACUACUGGAAACGGUAGCUAAUACCGCAUACCAUCGGAUUUGCCCAGAUGGGAUUAGCUAGUAGGUGGGUUAACGGCUCACCUAGGCGAAGAUCCCUAGCUGGUCUGAGAGGAUGACCGGCCACACUGGAACUGAGACACGGUCCAGACGCCUACGGGAGGCAGCAGGGGGGAAUAUUGGACAAGGGGGGAAACCCUGAUCCAGCCAUCCCGCGUGUGCGAUGAAGGCCUUCGGGUUGUAAAGCACUGUUGGCAGGAAAGCGGUACCUGAAGAGUAAGCACCGGCUAACUACGUGCCAGCAGCCGCGGUCAUUC